UUGACCUCAAAUCAGGUAGGAUUACCCGCUGAACUUAAGCAUAUCAAUAAGCCGGAGGAA
rnacentral:rRNA from 1 species